rnacentral:rRNA from 1 species
GGCGAAUGACGGGCCAGGUGCGGCGGGAAGACGGAGGGGGAAGGCGUGGGCCGGAAUUAGUGUGCGGAAAGCGCGCGCAGGCGGUUCGUUAAUGGUGAGGUGAAAGCCCACGGCUCAACCGUGGAGGGUCAUUGGAAACUGGGGGAAUUGAGUGCAGAAGAGGAAAGCGGAAUUCCACGUGUAGCGGUGAAAUGCGUAGAGAUGUGGAGGAACACCAGUGGCGAAGGCGGCUUUCUGGUCUGUAACUGACGCUGAGGCGCGAAAGCGUGGGGAGCAAACAGGAUUAGAUACCCUAUAGUC